GCGGUCGUGGCGGAAAUGGUAGACGCGCAAGACUAAGGAUCUUGUGGAGCGAUCUGUCCGGGUUCAAGUCCCGGCGUCCGCACCA
rnacentral:tRNA from 1 species